GCCAGACUCCUGGGUCCCCCUAAGAGGGUUGGGGCUUGUUGAUGGCCUGCGUCGCCAUGGGCUCCACCGCUGCCCCGGAGGGAACGCUGGGCUACGUCCGCGAGUUCACUCGCCACUCCUCCGACGUGCUCGGCAACCUGAAUGAGCUGCGCCUGCGCGGGAUCCUCACUGACGUCACGCUGCUGGUUGGCGGGCAACCCCUUCGAGCUCACAAGGCAGUUCUUAUCGCCUGCAGUGGCUUCUUCUAUUCAAUUUUCCGAGGCCGUGCAGGAGUGGGGGUAGACGUGCUCUCCCUGCCCGGGGGCCCCGAAGCCGGAGGCUUCGCUCCUCUUCUGGACUUCAUGUACACUUCACGCCUACGCCUCUCUCCGGCCACUGCACCAGCCGUCCUUGCGGCCGCCACCUACUUGCAGAUGGAACACGUGGUCCAGGCAUGCCACCGCUUCAUCCAGGCCAGCUAUGAACCUCUGGGCAUCUCCCUGCGGCCCCUGGAGGCAGAACCCCCCACGCCCCCAACGGCCCCUCCGCCAGGCAGUCCCAGGCGCUCCGAAGGGCACCCAGACCCACCUACUGAGUCUCGCAGCUGCAGUCAAGGGCCCCCCAGUCCAGGCAGCCCAGACCCCAAGGCCUGCAACUGGAAAAAGUACAAGUUCAUCGUGCUAAACUCUCAGGCCUCCCAAGCAGGGAGCCUGGCAGGGGAGAGGAGUUCUGGUCAACUUUGCUCCCAGGCCCGGCUCCCCAGUGGAGAUGAGGCUUCCAGCAGCAGCAGCAGUGAAGAAGGACCCAUUUCCGGUCCACAGAGCAGGCUCUCUCCAACUGCUGCCACUGUACAGUUCAAAUGUGGGGCUCCAGUCAAUACCCCCCAUCUCCUCACACCCCGGGCUCCAGAGACCACUGGGUCACACUCUGGGCGGGCUCAUCCACCACCAGGAAGUGAAUUUUUCAGCUGCCAGAGCUGUGAGGCUGUGGCUGGGUGCUCAUCGGGGCUGGACCCCUUGGCUCCUGGGGAUGAGGAUAAGCCCUACAAGUGUCAGCUCUGCCGGUCUGCCUUCCGCUAUAAGGGCAACCUGGCCAGUCACCGCACGGUGCACACAGGGGAAAAGCCCUACCACUGCUCCGUCUGCGGAGCCCGCUUUAACCGGCCGGCUAACCUGAAAACGCAUAGCCGCAUCCAUUCGGGAGAGAAGCCCUACAAGUGUGAGACGUGCGGCUCGCGCUUUGUACAGGUAGCGCAUCUGCGCGCGCACGUGCUGAUCCACACCGGGGAGAAGCCCUAUCCUUGCCCCACCUGCGGGACUCGCUUCCGCCACCUACAGACCCUCAAGAGCCACGUUCGCAUCCACACGGGAGAGAAGCCUUACCACUGCGACCCCUGCAGUCUGCAUUUCCGGCACAAGAGUCAACUUCGGCUGCAUCUGCGCCAGAAACACGGAGCUGCUACCAACACCAAAGUGCACUACCACAUUCUGGGGGGGCCCUAGCUGAGCGCCUGCCCAGGCCCCACUCCCUUCCUGGAAGACAGGAGAGCUGCGGCUCACGCCUGGGUUCGCUGUCAGGCUUGGGCAUAGGGGUGUGCAAGGCCCCUCGAUGUCAGCGACUUGCCACCACCUUAAUUUCUCACUGGGGAGAGCAGGGGUGGCAGAUCCCAGCUUGAUCUGCCUUUGUUUUGCUGGUCAAAACCUCUUCCCCACGAUCACAAUUGUUUCUGAGGAGAGAACAAGCUAGGAGCUGGAGGAGGGGAGAGACUGGAGGCCUGGUUUCCACCUGCAGCCCCCAUCUCAUUCGGUUUAUCUGUAAAUAUAAUUUAUUGAGGCCUUUGGGUGGCACCAGGGCCUUCAUUCUAUUGCAUUUCUCAUGUCCCUCUUCCACAAGUGUGAUCAAAAGUGACCUGAAACACAGAAUGUGAGGUCAUGGCUCUGCCGGCAGAGAUUAGCACUUGGCUGCCUCCUUUGGCGUCUGGCUCCACUGUGUCUGUUUGAUAGAACUCACCCAGGAGCUUGAGUUGGGCCCACAAUCCUCCCACUAGGACCCAUUCUUAGCACUGAGUUGAUCCCUCCAUGCAGGAGAGAUCUGAAAUUCCUCACCAGAGGUGAUGCAAUCUUUUCUGAUUCUGCCCAGUCUCUAAGAAUGUUAUGACCUAGGGGAGGAUCAUGAAACCCUUUAUCUUGACUAAACAGUAAAGAGUAUGACUCAUCCUUUACUGCAGAGGUUGUCUGAGUUUGAAUGUUCCUUGGGGUUCUACCUGAGAUGAACCUCUUCUUCCUUUAGUAGGUUUUCGGACAUCUUCUGGCAAGUGUCCAGAUUCCAGAAACUUCUUUGCCUCUAGAAGUCACAGCUGCUUGGUAACUUUCUUACCUUAGAAAAGCUGGGUCUGUGACCUGGUCUUCCUGUCACUGCAUUCCUGUCCGGAACCAGUGAAAGCACUAGAACCUUCCACAGGGAGAGAAAAGGGGUUGAGUUCCACUAUGGAUUUUCUGUAGUUUGGGAUUAUGAUCGGAAUUACUGUUGGGAUUAGAGAUUUAGAAGAUUUAAAAGACUGACUGAUGGACCCUCUAGUUGACCAAGUAUCCAGGUAGGAUUAAGAGGUUGGUUGAGGGGCAAAGUCUCUGGUGUAGGCCAAGUAGGUAGAAGGUUAGGAAUGGGUUGCUUCUUAACUGUGUGGAAUGUCUGGAAUGUUAGAUGAUACUCUGAAGCCUUGAUUUACAGUCCUGCCCCUGUUGCCCUGGGGGAUUAGGGACAUGGGGUGGAAGGUAAAAAGCACUUUGAAUUUGCAGGGUGGAGGUUCCUCAAGACAGGUCAGUACUAGUGGCUGUCACUUGGGGACUGGUGAGAGAGCUACUCUUCUCCCUCUUUGCCUCUUACUCCCCACUGCAGAAUUGAAGGAGGUAGGGAAAGCAGAGGAGAGAGCUGAGAAGGAACCAUGAUUUUUUUUUUUUUUUUUUUUUUACCAGAUUGGAUGGGCAGGUGGAGAGUGCCAAGGGGUGGAGAUGUUAGAUCUUGCAAGAUCAGAAUCAUGGAAUAAAGAAGCCUCUCUGUGCUGCCUUUUGUGUCCUGGGUUCUUGCCUGUGGGGAUCUGGGGACUGAGGGUUCUGAAGCUGGGGAAAGAAGGUAUCCUAUCCUUCCUGGAUACCAUCUUGGAUUCUGUGCCCAUCCCACGGUCCCAUCCCACCAGACAUUUUAAGUGGCCCUUGUUCU